AAUUGUAGUCUAUAGGUGCGGACUCGCGCAGGCUCGGGUAUAAAUCCGUUCUUGGAACUGGGUGCCAGAGAGGGUUAGAGCCCCGUCUUUGACUCGGUAGCUUGCGCGUGACGAGUCUCACCAGAGAGUCGGCUUGCUUGGGAAUGCAGGUCAAAAUGGGUGGUAAACUUCAUCUAAAGCUAAAUAUUGGCGAGAGACCGAUAGCGAACAAGUACUGUGAAGGAAAGAUGGAAAGAACUUUGAAAAGAGAGUGAAAAAGGGCUUGAAAUUGUUAAGAGGAGAAGUGAUUGGAGCAUAUCAUACGGCUUGGGGUCCCAGGGCCGGGAUAUUUAUCCUGGCUUGCACCAUCCCAGGCUGUUUGUCAGCAUCGAUUUUGUGUGGGGGAGAAAGCGUGUGACGUUGAUGGCUUCGGCUUGAUCGUUGUGCGUGCAACCUUGCGUGGGAUCGAGGCAACCAAAGUCUGCGCGCUAUUUGCGGCCGGCCCUCUGCGCGCGUUUUGGCGGAGGUCACACCCUUUUCUGGUGUGUGGCUUUCGUGGAGGCGUGAGGUAUAUUUAUGAGGAGCGCUGGACCUGCGGACUGAAGAUGCUGGCACAAAUGGCUUCCAUCAGCCCGUCUUGAAACACGGACCAAGGAGUCUAACACAUAUGCGAGUAGUAAGGUGGCAAACCUUGGAUGCGCAAUGAAGGUGAAUGUAGGUGGGAUCCCCGUGAAAAGGGUGCACCAUCGACCGACCAGGAUCUUUUGUGAAAGGUUUGAGUAAGAGCAUAUUUGUUGGGACCCGAAAGAUGGUGAACUAUGCCUGAAUAGGGUGAAGCCAGAGGAAACUCUGGUGGAGGCUCGUAGCGGUACUGACGUGCAAAUCGUUCGUCAAAUUUGGGUAUAGGGGCGAAAGACUAAUCGAACCAUCUAGUAGCUGG
rnacentral:rRNA from 1 species